rnacentral:SRP_RNA from 1 species
UAAUUAUAAUUCUAUUCAAUUAAUCAACUGGUCAGAUCUGGAAAGAAGCAGCCAAAUUAAACGAUAUAGGUUUUAUAAUAUCUU